GGGGACGUACUGGUUUCGACGGGGGUCUUGAAGCGCAGAUAGCGGGCAGCGGGCGGGACCGCUUAAAUACCCGAACCUAACAAAUUAAACGCGAACGAUAAUUACGCGUACGCGGCCUAAUUAGGCCGCCGUCUUACCGCGGAGCACCACGGCUGCGGUUAAGGCGUCGAUGAGUGGUCAACGAGAUCAGGAAUUUCCUCGCACUGAUCCCGUAUUAGAGGAUACCGAAGACGGAAGCCUGUUUGCCGGCGUCCGUCCGGGGGAAUCUUAAAAUGACAAACUGCGCCCGGAGAAGUCUGUGUGAAUGGGUUCUCGGACAGGGGUUCGACUCCCCUCGUCUCCACCA
rnacentral:sRNA from 1 species